rfam:Ictidomys tridecemlineatus contig071613, whole genome shotgun sequence.
UGGGUUGUGGCUCAGUGGUAGAGCACUUACCUAGUACAUGUAAGACACUGGGUUUAAUCCUCAGCAACACAU